GAUGAACGCUGGCGGCGUGCCUAAUACAUGCAAGUCGAGCGAAUGGAUUAAGAGCUUGCUCUUAUGAAGUUAGCGGCGGACGGGUGAGUAACACGUGGGUAACCUGCCCAUAAGACUGGGAUAACCCCGGGAAACCGGGGCUAAUACCGGAUAACAUUUUGAACCGCAUGGUUCGAAAUUGAAAGGCGGCUUCGGCUGUCACUUAUGGAUGGACCCGCGUCGCAUUAGCUAGGUGGUGAGGUAACGGCUCACCAAGGCAACGAUGCGUAGCCGACCUGAGAGGGUGAUCGGCCACACUGGGACUGAGACACGGCCCAGACUCCUACGGGAGGCAGCAGUAGGGAAUCUUCCGCAAGGGACGAAAGUCUGACGGAGCAACGCCGCGUGAGUGAUGAAGGCUUUCGGGUCGUAAAACUCUGUUGUUAGGGAAGAACAAGUGCUAAGAGAAUAAGCUGGCACCUUGACGGUACCUAACCAGAAAGCCACGGCUAACUACGUGCCAGCCGCCGCAGUAA
rnacentral:rRNA from 1 species